ACAACAACAUUCGGACCGUCGGUCUACCGAGCAAAUAUCACCCGCUCGGUGGAAGAUCUUUUCCUUUCGUCGUUAAUC
rnacentral:pre_miRNA from 1 species